UACGUAGGCAGCAAGCGUUGUUCGGAGUUACUGGGCGUAAAGGGUGCGUAGGCGGUCCUAUAAGUAUGGUGUGAAAUCUCCCGGCUUAACUGGGAGGGUGCGCUAUAGACUGUGGGACUAGAGUGUGGGAGAGGAAAGUGGAAUUCCUGGUGUAGCGGUGAAAUGCGUAGAUAUCAGGAGGAACACCGGUGGUGUAAACGGCUUUCUGGACCAUAACUGACGCUGAGGCACGAAAAGCGUGGGGAUCAAACAGG
rnacentral:rRNA from 1 species